rnacentral:rRNA from 1 species
AUGAACGCUGGCGGCGUGCUUAACACAUGCAAGUCGAACGAUGAAGCCCAGCUUGCUGGGUGGAUUAGUGGCGAACGGGUGAGUAACACGUGAGUAACCUGCCCUUAACUCUGGGAUAAGCCUGGGAAACCGGGUCUAAUACCGGAUAGGAGCGUCCACCGCAUGGUGGGUGUUGGAAAGAUUUAUCGGUUUUGGAUGGACUCGCGGCCUAUCAGCUUGUUGGUGAGGUAAUGGCUCACCAAGGCGACGACGGGUAGCCGGCGUGAGAGGGUGACCGGCCACACUGGGACUGAGACACGGCCCAGACUCCUACGGGAGGCAGCAGUGGGGAAUAUUGCACAAUGGGCGCAAGCCUGAUGCAGCGACGCCGCGUGAGGGAUGACGGCCUUCGGGUUGUAAACCUCUUUCAGUAGGGAAGAAGCGAAAGUGACGGUACCUGCAGAAGAAGCACCGGCUAACUACGUG